rnacentral:rRNA from 1 species
CCAGCAGCCGCGGUAAUUCCAGCUCCAAUAGCGUAUACUAAAGUUGUUGCAGUUAAAAAGCUCGUAGUUGAAUUUCUGGUCGUGGCGACCGGUCCGCCCCUCACGGGGUGUGCACCUGGUCUCUGCGUCCAUCCUCGGGGAGAGCGCGUCUGGCAUUCAGUUGUCGGGCGCGGGAUCCUCGUCAUUUACUGUGAGCAAAAUAGAGUGUUCAAAGCUGGCUUAGGCCGUUGAAUACAUUAGCAUGGAAUAAUAAGAUAGGACCUUGGUCUAUUUUGUUGGUUUGCAUUCCAAGGUAAUGAUUAAUAGGGAUAGUUGGGGGUAUUCGUAUUCAAUUGUCAGAGGUG